UAGCCGUAAACGAUACUCGCUAGGUGUCGGCCACGGUGCGACCGUUGUCGGUGCCGUAGGGAAGCCGUGAAGCGAGCCACCUGGGAAGUACGGCCGCAAGGCUGAAACUUAAAGGAAUUGGCGGGGGAGCACCACAACGGGUGGAGCUUGCGGUUUAAUUGGAUUCAACGCCGGAAAUCUUACCGGGACCGACAGCAACAUGAAGGCCAAGCUGAAGACUUUGCCGGAUUAGCUGAGAGGAGGUGCAUGGCGUGUGACUGU
rnacentral:rRNA from 1 species